UCGGCCUCGCUCAUUGGUUGUUCUGAAUGUCAGGAAAGCCGCGAGGCCCGCCCGCUUGUUUACCACAGUUGCUGGGCUCGAGGAGGCGAUAACUCCUGCCAUGGAACGCACCUGAGGCCCAAAUCCUUAAAUCCUCAUUGUGCGCUACGCUCACUGCACAGACAGCAGCUCAGUCUGAUGCUCACCUCAUGAGUUACCACCAUACCUGAGGCGGAGGCAGCAGGCUGAAGUGUUUCUCCUCAUUAAUGCUUAUUAAAAGUACACGUCUGUCACAGGAUGAGAGAUCGCUGCUGGCUGCUCUGUGAACCUUGGCCUCGUAUUCCCUCAGAGGCAAAGCUACACCUUGAUGAUGGUUUGGAAUUUGCACCAUCUCCUGUGGUUUACAGGCAGGACCAGUUCAGCUUGAGUAAGGAAGACGUACAGACCACUUUCUCUGCUUGCUCUUCUGUCUGGAGCAGCUGCUUGAGGAGCGCUCAGUGCACUGCUCUUGUUUCCCUGCCCCAUAGCUGCACUGGGGGGAGAGGGGUACACGUGGCUGCUCUGUUGGACAGGUUGCAUGGGAGCCAUGCUGAAUGCAUCAGACACUCCAAAGGCUCCUUGGAGUCUCUUUGCAAAGGAUAUUUUGGCUUUGCUUCGUCAUACACUUUCAUAAUGCAGUUCAGAAGAUGGGAGGAAACCUGAAAGCCACCUGCCAGCUCUGUUAUUUUCAGCACUGGUUCAGUUGGGAAGGCUUUUAUAGCCUGUCUUUAUCAGGGACCUACUUACCAGCACUCCUCUAGGGAGCAUUGCUCCGUGAGCUUCUAUCAUUCCUUUUCUGAUCUCUUUAACACCCAGCUUCAGCCUUACACUGAAGAGGAAAAAAAAAAAAGAAGCAUUCACCUCCAGAUCUCUUCCCUGGGGAGGCCUCGAGCAGCAGACUGCAUCAAAACAAACAGAACAACAACAGCAUUCCCACUAUUGCGGUGGUUCCUUGAUCUUAGUGAUGGCCCCAGGACUGUAAAGGUCAGACAGCGCUGCCUGCUAAGAGGAUCUGGCAGCAUCAGGGAGGGUAAGAAAAUACGCAGCUGAGAACAAAUCGAAGGGAUGCCUCUCUUGGGCUGGAACAGCACUCAUCCAUAGCCAGAAUGCCUUCAACUCCAAAAAUCCAAAGAUUUUUAGGUAUCACAGCAAUGACAGGUUAGAACAGGCAGAUGGAGGACAGGCUCUGUAUUGGUUUGAGUUAAAGUGGUUAGUUCUGCAACCAACCAGAGGGAAACAAACCCAACAACAAAACCUAACCUCAAACCACCCUUCCUCACCUGCAUACAGCGAGGACCGGUGUCUAUUUAAGCACUUUGGUAUGUGUGAGCUGUUGUGGCUCUCAUCACUUUAUCUAGCUGUGAUCAGGAAAGGGAGAAUCCAUACAGACAAACUGGCAGAUGCGUUACGCAUACAACAGCCUGAAACUAUCUUGAAGUGGGGCUCAUCUGCACGUGGUGAGAAUGAGCACAGCAAUCCCUGAAGGCCUGUAAUGACUCUGAACAGAAGAAAUCCAUCUGGUAUUGAUUAUUCCAAGGUUUAAAGGCAAGCGGUGAGGACACAAGAGAAGCCUAGAUAAUUAGAAACUUUGUUACCUGCAAUGUGAAUGGGAAUUGCAGAUGCACAAGCCGUGUAGUAGAGUGCUAGUGGAGUCUGCUGGUAGCUUAAAGCACAAAACACUACGGCAUUGUUAGAUUAGACCAGGUAAUGAUGCAUUGCUGGGAUUGGUUUGGUAGAAGCUAUUCUAAAAGACACCAGAA